UACGGGGGGAGCAAGCGUUGUUCGGAUUUACUGGGCGUAAAGGGCGCGUAGGCGGCGUGACAAGUCACUUGUGAAAUCUCCGGGCUUAACCCGGAGCGGCCAAGUGAUACUGUCGUGCUAGAGUCGCGGAAGGGGCUACUGGAAUUCUCGGUGUAGCGGUGAAAUGCGUAGAUAUCGAGAGGAACACCUGCGGCGAAGGCGGGUAGCUGGGCCGACACUGACGCUGAGGCGCGACAGCGUGGGGAGCAAACAGG
rnacentral:rRNA from 1 species